rnacentral:rRNA from 1 species
UGGACGCAAGUCUGACGGAGCAACGCCGCGUGAGUGAUGAAGGUUUUCGGAUCGUAAAGCUCUGUUGCCAGGGAAGAACGCUUAGGAGAGUAACUGCUCUUAAGGUGACGGUACCUGAGAAGAAAGCCCCGGCUAACUACGUGCCAGCAGCCGCGGUAAUACAUAGGGGGCAAGCGUUGUCCGGAAUUAUUGGGCGUAAAGCGCGCGCAGGCGGCUUUGUAAGUCUGGUGUUUAAACCUAGGGCUCAACCCUGGGUCGCAUUGGAAACUGCAAGGCUUGAGUGCAGAAGAGGAGAGUGGAAUUCCACGUGUAGCGGUGAAAUGCGUAGAUAUUAGGAGGAACACCAGUGGCGAAGGCGACUUUCUGGACUGUGUCUGACACUGAGGCGCGAAAGCCAGGGUAGUGAACGGGAUUAGAUACCCCGGUAAUCCUGGCCGUAAACGAUGGGUACUAGGUGUUGGGGGUAUCGACCCCUCCAGUGCCGGAGUUAACGCAAUAAGUACCCCGCCUGGGGAGUACG